ACCGGCGGCUCGAGUGGUGGCCACUAUUACUGGGCUUAAAGCGUUCGUAGCUGGCUUGUUAAGUCUCUGGGGAAAUCUUCCGGCUCAACCGGAAGGCGUCUCAGGGAUACUGGCAGGCUAGGGACCGGAAGAGGUGAGAGGUACUCCAGGGGGACGAGGCAAAAGGUGGACUCCGUGGGGGAGGACCGGAGGCGGGGGCGUCACACCGUGAUGGCUCCGUCAGUGGUGAACGUAACCGGGGAGAGCAAGGCG
rnacentral:rRNA from 1 species